AACCUGUGUCCCCUGCAGUGGAAGCAGGAGUCCUGACCUCUGGACCGCCAGCAUACACAGAAAAGUGCCUCCCCAAAAUCAAAACCAACAAAUAUACAAAUGAAUGGAUAAAGUGAACAGCUAACCAGGUCAAGAAUUAGAACCUGCGUGUAUCCUUUCCCAUUCACAGCACUUUCUCCCCCUUAAGAGGAUACAACUCAGGAACAGCCAGACGAAGGAGAUGCACAGGGCAAGGUAAGGGGGAGGAGGAACUCAGAGCUUCCAGGCUCUCUCCCAGCAUGUCACCCCCCCUUCCCAGCACCUUGAUGUGUUCACCAACCCAGAAGCUCUCCGAAUCCCACUGCUUAUGGAUUUUUCUGGAAGUUUCAUCACUUAAGCAUGAUUGAUUAAAUCAUUGGCCAUUGGUGAUUAAUUCAACCUCCAGCCCCUCUCCCCCAUUAUACUGACUAUACAAUAAAAGCCAAAACAAUGUAGAUGCUGCCAAGGUAACCUGCAGGACCACCAUGUAUACCAGCCACAGGGGGGUCCGUGACGACUCUGCAGAGCUGUUCUUGACCUGUUCACCUAUUUCAGAGAGAGAAAGGCAGAUGUAGGGUGUACGUAUAUGUGCAUGAGUACGUGUAAAAACAACCAUUUAUGUCAACU